rnacentral:sRNA from 1 species
GUCGUUUGCGUUUUGUCUUCUAACAUGGAAAAACUACUUUGGCUUUUAAGAUCUCGUUGCGGUUCUAGUUCUUAUACUUAAUCAUACACAUGACAUCUAGUCAUAUUCGACUCCAAAACACUAACCAAGCUUCUUCUUGCUUCUCAAAGCUUUGAUGGUGUAGCCGAAGUCCGUAUGAGUCGUUGGCUUUGUAU